CGGGGUGCAGCAGGCGCGAAAACUUUACAAUGCGGGACACCGCGAUAAGGGGACCCCGAGUGCCAGCACCUAGUGCUGGCUGUCCAGCUGUUCAAAUAACAGUUGUUAGCAAGGGCCGGGCAAGACCGGUGCCAGCCGCCGCGGUAACACCGGCGGCCCGAGUGGUAGCCGUUAUUAUUGGGUUUAAAGGGUCCGUAGCCGGCCUAUUAAGUCUCUUGGGAAAUCUGGCGACUCAAUCGUCAGGCGUCCAAGAGAUACUGGUAGGCUUGGGACCGGGAGAGGUGGGAGGUACUCCAGGGGUAGGGGUGAAAUCUCGUAAUCCUUGGGGGACCACCGAUGGCGAAGGCAUCCCACCAGAACGGGUCCGACGGUGAGGGACGAAAGCUGGGGGCACGAACCGGAUUAGAUACCCGGGUAGUCCCAGCCGUAAACGAUGCUCGCUAGGUGUCAGGUGCGGUGCGACCGCAUCUGGUGCCGCAGUGAAAACUUGAAGCGAGUCACCUGGGAAGUACGGCCGCAAGGCUGAAACUUAAAGGAAUUGG
rnacentral:rRNA from 1 species